CGUACAACCAAUUUCUGUUUUUUUUUUUAUUAUUAUUAUUUUAUUGUUCAUAACGGUGUGUCGUCAGUGUCUGACAGUGUCCAACGAAUGCAACGAUGAUGUUGUUACAACUUACAAUGUAUAAUACAUUAAUACUAAUAAUAUAGUAAUAUACCUACAUAAUUAUUAUAUGUUGGAAAAUGUGAAAUGUCGUUAGUUUUUAAAUUAACACGACUGAGAAUAAUAUCAUUAUUUUUCAAUUGUAAUCACAGUAUUUGUGUUACGCGUUUAUAUUUUUCCAUCGAACUUUCAGAGUAGAUGAUCGUAUUACACACACACACACACACACACACACACACACACACACACACACACACACACACACACACACACACACACACACAUACAUGACGGUCGUUUCGCAAUUCGUGGUGAGCCGGAUCGUUCUGGUGGUAUUCGCAUAAUUGGUACGAGCGAAACUGUUAUAAUAAUAGUUUAUAGGUGUCCGGGCGAUUCACCAAGAUGCUCGCUGACAUUUUUUUUCGUUUAGUAAUGAAUUUAUUAAAAUUCUGAUUUUUAACUUUUUAAUUAUAGGUAUACUUGAACACUAUAUUUGCAGUUACUUUGAUGUUUUUAUUUCGUUUGAAGAAUAUUAAAUGAUGAUUAAAACUAUUUUUCAAAUAAGAAUUAUCCUUUUGGGUAUACUACCUAUUACAAUAAAGGUACAUUGAAACAGAUGAUUUUUUUUGAAAUGUUGAUGUAUCUAAAGUAAAAUUUGAACCAGUAUUUUAUGCGUUAUUCUCAUUUAAUUACCAAGAAUCAUAAUCCUUGUAAAAUAAUAAUUUAUG